AAUCAACGCUGGCGGCGUGCCUAGCACAUGCAAGUCGAACGAGAAAGAGGGGGCAACUCCUCGAGUAAAGUGGCGACCGGGUGAGUAACACGUGACUAACCUACCCUUGAGUGGGGAAUAACCUUCCGAAAGGAGGGCUAAUACCGCAUAACAUCGCGAGGCGAGAUUCCUUGUGAUCAAAGGAGCAAUUCGCUUAAGGAGGGGGUCGCGGCUGAUUAGCUAGUUGGUGAGGUAACGGCUCACCAAGGCGAUGAUCAGUAUCCGGCCUGAGAGGGCGCACGGACACACUGGAACUGAAACACGGUCCAGACUCCUACGGGAGGCAGCAGUGGGGAAUUUUGCGCAAUGGGGGAAACCCUGACGCAGCAACGCCGCGUGGAGGAUGAAGGUCUUUGGAUUGUAAACUCCUUUCGAUCGGGACGAUUAUGACGGUACCGGAAGAAGAAGCACCGGCUAACUCUGUGCCAGCAGCCGCGGUAACAC
rnacentral:rRNA from 1 species